rnacentral:rRNA from 1 species
UACGUAGGGGGCUAGCGUUGUCCGGAAUCAUUGGGCGUAAAGCGCGCGUAGGCGGCCCGGUAAGUCCGCUCUGAAAGUCCAGGGCUCAACCCUGGAAAGCGGGUGGAUACUGCCGGGCUAGAAUCCGGAAGAGGCGAGUGGAAUUCCUGGUGUAGGCGGUGGAAUGCGCAGAUAUCAGGAGGAACACCAAUAGCGAAGGCAGCUCGCUGGGACGGUAUUGACGCUAAGGCGCGAAAGCGUGGGAGCAACAGG